UACGUAGGGGGCAAGCGUUAUCCGGAUUUACUGGGUGUAAAGGGAGCGUAGACGGCGAUGCAAGUCUGAAGUGAAAGGCGGGGGCCCAACCCCCGGACUGCUCUGGAAACUAUAUGACUGGAGUGCAGGAGAGGUGAGCGGAAUUCCUAGUGUAGCGGUGAAAUGCGUAGAUAUUAGGAGGAACACCAGUGGCGAAGGCGGCCUGCUGGACGGUGACUGACGCUGAGGCUCGAAAGCGUGGGGAGCAAACAGG
rnacentral:rRNA from 1 species